UCCCCAGGAAACAAAGUUGAUGUUACGUCCUUUGAAGUCAUGGUAACGAGUGUGUGUGUGUGUGUGUGUGUGUGUGUGUGUGUGUGUGUGUGUGUGUGUGUGUGUGUGUGUGUGUGUGUGUGUGUGUGUGUGUGUGUGUGUGUGUGUGUGUGUGUGGAUGGUGUCUACUUAUAGGUCUGUGUUUUGUUCGGUGGUCAGACUCACAUCAAAGCCUCUGGUCAGGUCCACAUGUCCCGUGUCGCUGCUGUCGAGCGGAGGGUGACUGGGAGCCUGUUAGAGCAGCGUUAAUGGAAUGAUGGAUGCACCGCCUCAUUUAGCCAGAGAUGAAAAGUGGAGUAACACCAUUCUAAACGGGCUCAGCCCUUUUCUUCUCCCAUAGGACCGACUCAGAGGACAGCGACGUGAAGUACAGCAGCGCUGUGGGAUCUGUCCGCCCCAAUUCUCCAGGCAAAAUGUUUACUUAAAGAAUUACGGGGAGAGCUA